rnacentral:rRNA from 1 species
CGAGCCGGUGACGGUGGGCGAAUCCCAAAAAUAACGUCUCAGUUCGGAUUGUAGCUGCAACCCGACUACAUGAAGCUGGAAUCGCUAGUAAUCGCGGAUCAGAAUGCCGCGGUGAAUACGUUCCCGGGUCUUGUACACACCGCCCGUCACACCAUGGGAGUCGGAAAUGCCCGAAGUCUGUGACCGAACCGAAAGGGAGGAGCAGCCGAAGGCAGGUCGGAUGACUGGGGUGAAGUCGUAACAAGGUACC